CUAGGGAAUAAUGAGGUGAUGGUUUAUUCUUAGAGAUGGUGAUGAGCAGCGUGAGUGGGGCUGGUCUGGUGGCUUGUGCCUAAGACUCUCUGCUCAUCUGGUCAUUUGAAGGACCCCUCCCCACUGAAACCAGGACUGUCAGGCACCCGAGAACUCAACAAGCAUUCAUUAAAUGCCCGCUGAUGUAGAAAGCCCUGUGCCGGUGCCCAGAUUGCCAAGACAAAGGGCAACAGUCCUAGCCCUUAAGGGUCUUCCCUUCUGCCCAGUCUUACCUGGAGAGACAAAGAUGAGGGAAUUUAGGACAGGAGGUGAAACAUGAGCUGAGCUUGGAAGUAAGGGGCUCUGCUAGGAGAACAAUGAAGACGAUGGGAACAACUUCCAAGGAAGUCAGUCACAACCAACGCUGGCCCAUGCAGGGACCAAUCCCAGGUGCAGAGGGCUGCUGCUGAAGCCUGCUCCCCAUCUCCUGACCAAGAGGUUCUGCUGCAGACUGCUGACCUGCACUGGAAGAGAGAAUUUCUUCAGCUGGCACUUUACCAUAUCAAAGAAAUCAUAGGUCUCAUGCCUAUCCCUAACAAGUACUUUAAAUUUUGUAAAGACUUUGUAUGAA